GGGUCAGUAGGUUGGUCGUGCCACCGGUACGUACUGGUCUCACUGAUUCCUCCUUCCUGAAGAACCGUAAUGCCAUUAAUUUGGUGUUGCGGGGAAACAGGACUGUUACUUUGAAAAAAUUAGAGUGUUUGAAGCACGCUAACGCUUGAAUACAUUAGCAUGGAAUAAUGAAAUAGGACGAUCGAUCCUAUUUUGUUGGUUUCUAGGAUUGACGUA
rnacentral:rRNA from 1 species